AGAAUAACGUAUCUGGGGUCCCCAUUUUAUAGGUGGAGGGGGCAACAGACUGAUAGCGAUGUUUGUAACCGUCUGGCAGUGGGCUGCCCAGGGUCAGGAGGAGUUUGUUGCGAGGAGUAGUGGAGUGGAAUCGUGGCUAUCACCGGGACAUGCCACAUGGAGUCUGUUGCGGGGAGUGGAGCGGCAUUCAUUGUCGCGAC
rnacentral:lncRNA from 1 species